AUUGAACGCUGGCGGCAUGCCUUACACAUGCAAGUCGAACGGCAGCACGGGUGCUUGCACCUGGUGGCGAGUGGCGAACGGGUGAGUAAUACAUCGGAACGUACCUUAUCGUGGGGGAUAACGCAGCGAAAGCUGUGCUAAUACCGCAUACGCCCUGAGGGGGAAAGCGGGGGAUCGAAAGACCUCGCGCGAUUAGAGCGGCCGAUGCCUGAUUAGCUUGUUGGUGGGGUAAAAGCCCACCAAGGCGACGAUCAGUAGCUGGUCUGAGAGGACGAUCAGGCACACUGGGACUGAGACACGGCCCAGACUCCUACGGGAGGCAGCAGUGGGGAAUUUUGGACAAUGGGGGCAACCCUGAUCCAGCAAUGCCGCGUGAGUGAAGAAGGCCUUCGGGUUGUAAAGCUCUUUUGUCAGGGAAGAAACACCGGCUCUAACACAGUCCGGGAAUGACGGUACCUGAAGAAUAAGCACCGGCUAACUACGUGCCGGCAGCCGCCGUAA
rnacentral:rRNA from 1 species